rnacentral:rRNA from 1 species
CCUACGGGAGGCAGCAGUGAGGAAUAUUGGUCAAUGGGCGCGAGCCUGAACCAGCCAAGUAGCGUGAAGGAUGACUGCCCUACGGGUUGUAAACUUCUUUUAUAAAGGAAUAAAGUGAGGCACGUGUGCCUUUUUGUAUGUACUUUAUGAAUAAGGAUCGGCUAACUCCGUGCCAGCAGCCGCGGUAAUACGGCGGAUCCGAGCGUUAUCCGGAUUUAUUGGGUUUAAAGGGAGCGUAGAUGGGUUGUUAAGUCAGUUGUGAAAGUUUGCGGCUCAACCGUAAAAUUGCAAUUGAUACUGGCAGGCUUGAGUACAGUUGAGGUAGGCGGAAUUCGUGGUGGAGCGGUGAAAUGCUUAGAUAUCACGAAGAACCCCGAUUGCGAAGGCAGCUUACUAAACUGUGACUGACAUUGAUGCUCGAAAGUGUGGGUAUCAAACAGGAUUAGAUACCCGGGUAGUC